UCGGAUGUGAAACAAAGUUGAGCAUUUUUUUUAUUUGCAGGUCUGUCUGGUUGUGGAGGAUGGAGGUCAACAUAUAUAGGAGUCUCCCUAACAACAAGUAGUAUUGCUAUUCAUUUAACCUUCUUGAUCAUAGCAAUGUAGUGGGAGCUACAAGUUUCACGUAUUUUAACUUUGUCAUAGCACUUUGAAAAAGUUUUCUGUGGUAUUUGGAAAGCUGAUGUUGCAAGUGAAGAUUGCAGACAAGCUUUAUCCAAGGAAAUCUGGCUCUCGAAGUUCGAAGAGAUAUGCCUUUUCGGUUUUUGAACAAGCAAUCAUGUCGGGGAUCUGGCUUUCGAGAUUCAGAGAACGGUGCCUCUUCGAUUUUUGAGAAAGCAAUCCUAUUGGGAGUCUGACUCUUGAGAUUUGGAGAGCAGUGUCUCUUCGAUUUUUGAGAAAAUAAUCCUGUUGGGAGUCUGGCUCUUGAGAUUCGGAGGGUGGUGCCUCUUCGAUCUUUUAGCACGUAAUCCUGUUGGGAGUCUGGCUCUC
rnacentral:lncRNA from 1 species